rnacentral:piRNA from 1 species
AGCCUGCGCUUCCCUUAGGGCAGAGAAGG